AUGUCAUGUCCCUGCUAUGCUGUUGGUCUGGAGCACACUGUUAGAUCUACCACGAGCCAUGAGUGGCCCCCACCGGACCAACACCGGUGUGUGGGGCCCACAGGGGUCUGCUUUCAGAACAAGCAUCAUCAUCAUCAUCAUUGUGGUGUUAGAUGUUGUGAUCCCGAAUUCUGGAUCAGAAUUAUGCAGCACUGUACUGGUUCCAGUUCCCUGCAGUGUAGGUCAGUUAACCUCAAACCAGCCAAUGGCAAUUGGGUUAAGUCACUUAACCAUGGUGAGUUGGAGAAACCAUACACUGAAGCAGCAGCACGCUGCUACUUCCAAGCGGAUGCAAACAGGACACCAGCUAAUAAUGAUGCUGUUCAUGAAGAAUUCUCUUAUGGAUGCAUGAGCGCGACAUCUUCAAAAUGUUUGUUAGCUCAUCAGUUCAUGAUCUGCAUUAAAACAGUCGUCUCAACCAACAAAUCAAGAUGCCCUACCCAUCCUGUUUGUUCAGCUCAUCUGCAUUAA
rnacentral:rRNA from 1 species